UAUCUAUGAUGUGGACACUUCAAAAGUAGUCCAUUGAAACACUCCUAUGUUUCGAAAAACUGCUCGUCUUCUCUCUGGGUAAACUCUGAAAUUUCCCUACGAAU
rfam:Citrus sinensis cultivar Ridge Pineapple sweet orange scaffold01368_contig_3, whole genome shotgun sequence.